AGCUGGAGGAGUGUGGAUGGUGUGUGGCUGGCUGAGGGAGAUGCAGGACCUCAGCUGAGGUAGUGCUGCCCAAAGCCAGGGAGAGUGAAAAGGGGCCCUGAGCUGGUUGUGGGGACUCUAUCAGGACAAGGCCUUGAGCAGUACCUGAAGACUCCCAAGCAGAGAUUAGGGGACCCAUUGUGUUUAGACCUCUACAAUCAAAUAACAAAAAGAAUCCCUACACCAGAUAUCUCACAAUCAAGGACUUAGACCAGUAGUUCUCAACCAGCGGUAUGUGUACCCUUGGGGGUAUGUAGAUGUCUCGAUAUUUGCCUAGUUUUACAGGCUACGUAAAAAGCACUAGAAAAGUAUUGAUAUAUAUCCAUAUCAGCACUCCCAGAGAUAGUAAUAAAAAGGACACCUAUACAUAGCAGACUGAUGCAACAAUACAAUUCAAGAUGAAUAGAAUUCUCAUCCCACUUAUUAGAAUCACACUUACCAAGGCUCACUACUCAAAGUUCAAGGGAAAAUCAGUCCUGUCAAAACAAACCUCAGGCUCUUUAGAAUGGAGUUGAGAUGAAAGGGGUGUCUGAAAGUUUGGUAGAUUUAAAUCAAGACUUGGCCAAACUCAAGAAUGACGAAAGUUCUCUUUUUUAUAGAAUCCUUUUGUACUUUCUUGUUUCUCAUAAAAUAAAUAAACUCCUCUGCUUUGGGACUGAAGCUCAGUUAAAACCUACUGAAUCAGAUGCAAAGAGUGUUAAAGAAAGAGUACAUGCAGGCAAACUCUGUCACUUUCAUCUUACAUUUUUAUGAUAUGAUUGUGAAUUAUGCUCUUUUGCGUUUAAAGUUAAAUAUAGAACAGCUAGUGGAGUCGUAAAGUUAGGUGUUCAUUAAAAUAUUACCUGUGCUGACAAGUGGGUCAGUUUUAAAAAAAAAAAUCCUUCUGAGUAUAUACUACUUUGUUAUAACUGUGGUUUCUUUUAUUGAUGAGCUAUAUUACUUAAUUUGAUGAAAAACCUUGUUAUAAUAAAUUCCAUUGGAAAGAAAUAUUUACCAUGUGGGAAAGAUGAAUCCAUUGUGUUUUUUUUAAUGAUAGUAA